ACACCUCGUUCCUCUUCUCUCUCUGAUCGCCAUGGCCCCGACUCUCUCUGGGACCUUUCCAGAGGGGCUCUUCCCUCCGCUGGGUCUCCUUCCUUCUCGCGGUCGCCUCACUCUUCCUCCCCGCGCCCCGGGAGAGUCCACUCGUAUCUUAGGGGGCUUCCGCGGAGUCCGCGGCGCUCGCACGGCGCCAGCGCUGGCCGCUAGGGGGCGCCGUCGGGGGCGGCGCGGUGCCGCCGCAGCCGCUCCUCUCCGGGCCGGGCCUCGCCCGCUCCGCUCGCGCCGCCGGAAGUGGGAGGUGCCGCGCGCGGGCCGGCGCUCGACCCCUCCCCCCGAGGCUCGGCCGCCCCCUCCCCCCGCUCCGCCCGCUCAGGUACAGAGCAUGAUGGCGGCGGCGUCUGAGGUAGCUGGUGUGGUGUCCAAUGCCCCCAAUCCUCCAGAAUCCUCUUCUAGUUUAUGUGCUUCCAAAUCAGACGAAGGUCUCCCAGACGGUCUAAGCCCCAAAGACCCUGCACAGAAGCACAAGAACUCACCUCUGUCGAGUGUAAGUAGCCAAACGAUAACCAAGGAGAAUAACAGAAAUGUCCAUUUGGAACACCCAGAGCAGAAUCCUGGUUCAUCAGCAGGUGACACUUCAGCAGCGCACCGGGCGGUUUUAGGAGAAAACUUGCUAGCCACAGCCCUUUGUCUUUCUGGCGGUGGGUCUCAGUCUGAUUUGAAGGACGUGGCCAACACAGCAGGAGAGGAGGGGGACACGUGCCUCCGGGAGAGCCUCCAUCCUGUCACUCGGUCUCUUAAGGCAGGGUGCCAUACAAAGCAGCUUGCCUCCGGGAGUUGUUCUGAAGACAGAUCCCCACAAGCCUCCAUCCUAAAGGAAGGUAGCAGGGACACAGGCUUGGAUUUCCGACCUGUAGUGCCUCCAGCAAAUGGGGUUGAAGGAGUCAGAGUGGAUCAGGAUGAUGAUCAGGAUAGCGCUUCCCUGAAGCUUUCUCAAAACAUUGCUGUACAGACUGACUUUAAGACGGCCGAUUCAGAGGUAAACACAGAUCAAGAUAUUGAAAAGAAUCUGGACAAAAUGAUGACGGAGAGAACCCUGUUGAAGGAACGUUACCAGGAAGUCCUGGACAAGCAGAGGCAAGUGGAGAAUCAGCUCCAAGUGCAGUUAAAACAACUUCAGCAAAGGAGGGAAGAAGAAAUGAAGAAUCACCAGGAGAUAUUGAAGGCUAUCCAGGAUGUAACAAUAAAGCGAGAAGAAACAAAAAAGAAGAUAGAGAAAGAAAAGAAGGAGUUUUUGCAGAAGGAGCAGGAUCUGAAAGCUGAAAUUGAGAAGCUUUGUGAGAAGGGCAGAAGAGAAGUGUGGGAAAUGGAACUAGAUAGACUCAAGAAUCAGGAUGGCGAAAUAAAUCGGAACAUUAUGGAAGAGACAGAACGGGCCUGGAAAGCAGAGAUCUUAUCACUAGAGAGUCGGAAAGAGCUGCUGGUAUUGAAACUAGAAGAAGCAGAAAAAGAAGCAGAACUGCACCUCACUUACCUCAAGUCAACCCCCCCAACACUAGAGACCGUUCGUUCCAAACAGGAGUGGGAGACAAGGCUGAAUGGAGUUCGGAUGAUGAAAAAGAAUGUUCGGGACCAGUUUAAUAGUCAUAUCCAGUUGGUGAGGAACGGAGCCAAGCUGAGCAGCCUUCCUCAAAUCCCGACUCCCACUUUGCCCCCACCCCCAUCAGAGACAGACUUUAUGCUUCAGGUGUUUCAACCCAAUCCUUCUCUGGCUCCUCGGAUGCCCUUCUCCAUUGGGCAGGUCACAGUGCCCAUGGUUAUGCCCAGCGCAGAUCCCCGCUCCUUGUCUUUCCCAAUCCUAAACCCUGCCCUUUCCCAACCCAGCCAGCCUUCCCCGCCCCUUCCUGGCUCCCAUGGGAGAAAUAGCCCUGGCUUGGGUUCCCUCGUUGGCCCCCACGGUCCACACAUGCCCCCUGCUGCCUCCAUCCCACCUCCCCCAGGCUUGGGCGGUGUUAAGGCUUCUACUGAAACUCCCCGGCCCCAACCAGUAGACAAACUGGAGAAGAUCCUGGAGAAGCUACUGACUCGCUUCCCACAAUGCAAUAAGGCCCAGAUGACCAACAUCCUUCAGCAAAUCAAGACAGCACGGACCACCAUGGCAGGCCUGACCAUGGAGGAACUGAUCCAGUUGGUAGCUGCACGACUGGCAGAACAUGAGCGGGUGGCAGCCAGUACUCAGCCACUCGGUCGGAUCCGGGCCUUGUUCCCUGCUCCAUUGACCCAAAUCAGUACCCCAAUGUUCUUGCCUUCUGCCCAAGUUUCGUAUCCUGGAAGGUCUUCACAUGCUCCAGCCGCCUGUAAGCUGUGUCUCAUGUGCCAGAAACUUGUCCAGCCCAAUGAGCUGCAUCCAAUGGCAUGUUCCCAUGUGCUGCACAAGGAGUGUAUCAAAUUCUGGGCCCAGACCAACACAAAUGACACUUGUCCCUUUUGUCCAACUCUUAAAUGACGGACCUGACUGGGGAGGAAGAAGAGGAGAAACUGAUGUGAACAGGAAGCGCGGGUUCAAGAUUUCUAAAACUCUAUAUUUAUACAGUGACCUAUACUCAUGCCAUGUACAUUUUUAUUAUAUAGGUAAUGUGUGUAUAGAAAGUCUGUAUUCAAAUGUUCGUAAAUGAAAGUAUGUAUAUUAUGCAGAAAUGGUUGCCCCCCCCCCCCACCUUGCAAUUCCUUUGGGGGAUGCAGAUUGUAGGUAAGGUGAUGUUUAGUUUGCCCUUGAAAUUAUGAUAUUCUUGCCUAGGGCUGUUUUCAAGUACAUUAUAAAAACCAUCUAGGAAGCUGCUGUUGCUCUAAGGCCAUCCUGCUUUGAUUUGGCUCAGCCUCUAGUUAAUUUUCUUAAGGCUCAUGUAUGCAGAUUUGAACCCUGGUGCUCACCCGCUGUCCGACCAGAUGCCUUGCUUACUGAAAGCCUCCGGAAGCCUCAGUGUUGUUCUAGCCACUCUACUCCAAAUGGAUAAAAUGAGACUGAUUGAGGAAAAAAAAAUGUAACCCUAAUAGUUUGAAUUUUCAUUGACUAUUUUACUGUGUUAACGCUCAUUAUUUGCACGUAGACAUUAGGUUUACAGAAUAUUCUGUUUUACAUCAGCAAAAUUCACAGUCCAAGAACAACAACAUAAGUGGGUCCCAUUUCACCCCUGCCCCCCGUGAACUUCUGUCCAUCUGACUUCCUGGAUAGUCAUCUCUUUAGAAACUAGCACAGCCCACAGGUCUUUCCUGGGCCAAGCCAUCCCUUGCUGCCACUGCCUUGGCUUCUGAUCAAGCUGACAGAGCAACCUUGUGAAGCCCUCAACUCUUCCCCUUCACUUCUGGUCUCUAGUCAGCCAGCCCCCCUCCCCCCUGAAGGUUAAGGCAGUUGGUUCACAACCAAGUUGUUUGGUGACCUUGGGUGAGCUCCAGGCAGGCACUGGGGUGAGGAGAUGUCUGUGCAAAAUUGCUUGCAGAAUGAUCUUGGGAUGCUGGAUUUUAAUUUCUGAAGCAAGAGAAUUACGGGGGACACGUUUCCUGUCCUGGGAAAAAUGGAGGCCAGAGUGAUAUGAAAGGAGGUUGGAUUUCAAGUUUAGAAGUCAUUUUUCUAUAGAUAGCUAUCUAGAACUAGAUCAUUUUUCCACCUUUGCUUAUUGAGCACGUCUGGUUUUUAGGUUUAUAUGCCUGUGAAAGCUGUGAAUCUAUUAGAGCUUUGAAUCUUUUCCUAUCCUUUUAUCUUUACUCCUAUAGGAAAUGGCUUCAGCUUCCUUCUCUUUUGGAACUGAACGAGAAAAAACUAAGUGUUAACUAAAAGAAAUUAACUCCAGGGGAAGGACAUCAUUAUAUUAUCAACAGCUAAAUUUUUCCCAUUCUGGGACCUGGACAUGCUUACUGGCACUAGUAACACCAUCAAGGUAGCAAAGACUUUUCCUUUCAGCUCCAGUUAAAUUCUCUCCCCUCUGUUUUGUUCUUUUCCUUCUUUGUCCUUCGUUCCUGCCUAGCAGUCUCUUGGCCGUAGACCUUCUCUUCUCUUGCCUUACUUGCUCAGGCUUGUUGACUGUCAUCAUUUUAAGGAGCUGGACUUCCCAGGACCUCCUGGCAUCUUGUAGGGUGAUUGAAAUGGCCCAAGUACUCCCCUCUGUAGAGGUCAGGUGACCCACUUUCUUUGGUUAAUGAAACGUUCAUGUCUGCAGGUUGGUAGCUUUCACCAACAGAAGUGUGGCAAAAUGGAAGACCACUUCCUUUGUUAUUUUCAUUUGGGCGAUUCAUUUUUUAUCUUGUAAUCAAAAAUUUUCUCUCUCAUCAACGUUGCAGUGCCCUUUAGUCCACCAGCAAUAUUUUUCAGUAUCCCCUAAAAAUCUAGAAAUUAGAAAUGGGUAUAAAAGCUAUUCUCUUUUCCACAAAUCUUUGAAGCCAAAGGAAUAUAGCGAGAAGAAAGGAGGAAGUGGUGGGGGCAGGGGUGGGGGGCUUACCUGCUUCCUAGUAAAAGCCCCUUGAAAGCCAACUAUAGCAGGAUGACAAAUGUUUUGGGGAGCUGUGUGUGGGAGUUGGGGCCUCAUUGUUGCUCUUUUCUCUGUCUUGUUCAGAAUCAAUCAGAAAGCAACAUUUAAGUUUUGGUCAUCCUCGUUCUCCCUUUUCCCUCUGCCCACUGGCCUGCAGGGAUAGAGGCCAUGCAGACCAACGGGAAAGGCCUCGAAUACAGUGAGUAGAGAUGGGACAGUCGCUUUUCAGGAGUUGACUUUAAAAAUAGAGCUAUAUAAUACAUAUUUUUUACAAGCAAGAAGCUGUUGUCAAGAUUUUUUUUCUCCCACAUUUAGAGUUAAUAGUUUCAGGGUAGAAAGGAAGUAGCUAUAAAAAGAAAAGUAAGUACAAGUUAAAAAAAAUAGGACAUUGGGACCUCGUAAUGAAGGGGUUGAGUUUUAUGCCCUGGAAAGAGCUGGGAAAAGGCCAGUUUUCCCCAACAUGGGAAGAAAUUACAAAACAGAAUGUGGCAUUUUCAUUACACGGUAGCAGUUCUGGAAGUUUAUUUACACAGUAAGUUCCGAGCUGGAAACGGACAGUCUCCAGUCUUCCUGACCGUCUUUGUGGUGAGGGGGUGUUCCCAGUCAGCCAAAGCAGCACCAAGUGCAAGGGGAAUGAAGAGAACCCAGAUAAAGAACUGUGAUUCAGUACUCUUGUUUUAUUGGUUUAUGGCUUGUGGGCAGCUGGCCGAGGCCAGGAUCUCCAGAGGCCCUCCUUGUGUUUCCCUUUCCCUCAUCAGGUAAUUCCACACUCGGCGGGUCCCGCACCUGGAAGCAGUGUGUCGACAAGACAGCAAUAGGACCCAGUGGGUGAACCGGGGGAAUUCAGGUCUUCCCGUUAACACUGGUAUCAUAGUCGACUGUGUUAGAGCUGAUAGGGAGGAAAUGAACUCGGUCCCCACUACCUAGCCCAAGAACCAGCCUGGGUCCCCAAGUGCUAUUACUAGGAGUGGGGGCGUAGAGAGGAGGAGAGGGGCGGAGGAUGGCCUCCGGGAGCGGCUCGGGGGGUGAAGGAAGUGAGGAAGCCUUGAGGCUGCCAGCCUUUCCCCAGCAGCCUUGUUACUGAAGGCAGUAAUGCUAGAGCCAGACAGCCCUGUGUUUGUGACACCAGGUAUAUAAUGCUAGUGCCACUGUCGGCCGCCUCAGCCAGGUUCACGGAGGGGACACCAGAGAGGGAGACAAGGCAACGAAACUGCUCUGUAUCACGUGGAGCUCUUACUACUACUUUACAGCUGAACGGAAGAAGUCCAGGCAGAGGCGUAGGGCGGCCACCCUGUACCUGUUGAAUGAAUCUCGAGGGUUCUGCUUUCAAGGGUGAAGAGAGGUCUCCUGCCCAUCCCUCUCGGCACCUCAGUUGCAGAGCUCCAGAGGGGUAGGGGUCUGGGGAGGGAGCGAACAUGGAGGGGGAAGACGAAGCCCGGCCCUGCUAUGUUUGCUGUGUUCCAAUUGCUGUCUUGUAGGGCACCUGGGGCUGAAGGGGGCUGGGAAAGGUGAGUGGUACCCGUCGCAUGUGGAGUAGAGGGUUCAGGUAGAGACGAGUGGAAUGAAUAAGGUAGAAAUUCAUUUGUUAGAUGGGACUUCUUAGUGGGCACUUUUCAUUUCAGAGCGUUAAAAAGAGCUUUUCGGCUAGGUGAGCCCUUCUUCCCAACUCGCUUCUGGUCAGGCUACAACCACAGAAAAGAAAACGUUGGGUAGCAACACCCAUCUUGCAAGAUGGCCUUCUGUCUUGGAGAUGCAGUCUGAAGCUGGGACUGGCGAGCGGCCGUGGUUCUGCCUUUUCUAGCUCUGAUCCCAGCUGUUCCCUGUCUUUUGCGCUCCCCUCGUCUCCUCUUCCACCCGCCCCCGUUUGUACAAAUACUCAGUCUAAUUACAUUUUUGUUUAAUUCAAGAGGCAAUCUUUGUACCAAUGUGAGGCUCGUUUAUACAGUCCCUAUCACUAAAGCAAAUAGCAGACUGUGCAUCCGUUCCUACUGACUUUGGCCAGCAGGGAAGCAAGAGUGGCCCUUUCUCUGCCAGGGCACCGCAGACAGACACACACUGGGGCGACUCGGCUGUGAUGCCACUACUUCUGGAACUAAGAAAAGAAGAAUACUUUGGGUUGGAGAAUCCAGAGGAAUGGUGGGCAGAGGUUCAAGGCUGAAGUGUCAAGCAGCAGAAUUUCCCAACUCGGGCUCGAGGUGACCGAGAAUAAUCCCGCCACCAGAGUACUGCUUUCUUCCCUCUCCUGUUUCCUGCAGGUGCAAUCCCUGUAACCCACCUUGCCAGCUUUCCCUCCUUCUCUGUCAAGGCAGAGGCAUUUGGUGGGCAGGGGAGGGUCUUGAGGUGUUCUGGCCACCGGUGCCAUCUGCGUCUCCUGCUUGUGACCAAAGUGAACCACCGGAUGUGGUCCAGGGGAAUCUCUUGUCUUCCGCCCGUGGGCCUCCUCACUUCAACAGGGAGAUGUCGUCCGCAAAGUCAUCAUGUUGAUGGCGCAGGCAGCGGAGGCAGCGCCACUGGCACACCAUGAGGCACAGUGGCAGCAUGAAGAGGGCGCAGAUGGCAGCCAUGACGUAGGCUAUGGUCAUGAGGGUUGAUUCAUCUGUCUGUGGGAUGUUGUAGCCACAGUCUUCCAUGUCUGGGGUGACGAAUGGGCCUUCCACUGCUGCUGUCCUGAACUCAUCAUGCACUGGAGAAAGGGCACACGUCAGUGGGCGGCUCUCAUCGUCACAGAGCAGUUUAGCUUAUACAACAAAAAGAACUUCCCGAUAGGCCUUGAAAUUAGCCCCCGAGAAGGCUCUAGCAUUUCCUUGCCCGGAGGUAUUUAGGGGCAAGACAGAAAGCCCUUGCUAGGGAGAGGCACGCCUCUCCUCCCCCCAGGCCAGUGGGAGCAACAGCCCUUUCCUGUAUAAGCAUGCGGUAGGAAUGGCACCUAAAAGUCUUGUGAGUUGACCAAAAGGCCAGCCCCACGUAUACCUGGUAAACUCACCUCUUCGGCCGAUACCCACUUGAAAGACCUGGCCACCGAUCCUCAAGUAGCCGGCAUUCAAGCUCAUCAUGUAGCAGCUGACCAGGUCACUGUAGGCUCAGCCUGCUGCCCUUGGAGCGAGAGCUUCCCAAGGGCCUGAGGCAGCCCUUGCUGUUGCGGUCUGCAGCAGAGGUCACCGACCCAUGCAGGGCUCACCGUGCCGGGCGGCACAGAAGAAGCACAAGCACGCUAGCUUUUGCCCAACGUGUUGGCUCUGCCGUGAGGCAACUGUUACUACCUCCCAGGCUGACAGGGGCCCAGGUAUCCUAACUGCUGGACAGCAAGAACACGGACAGACUGACCCCACCCUCCUGCCUGGCUCUUACCGUGACAAGCACUGACAGCAAAGCCGAUUCGUUUCCGGGCCCGAUCAAAGACCACGUAGAAGCCCUCCAUGAUCACAGCUCCCAUAACCGUGCCCGUGGAGGACUGUGAGAUGGCGAACUUGUAGCAGUCAUCUUGGGACGUGGCCACGUCUUCCACUGGCCGCAGGUAUUGCUGGGGACAAGCAAGCAAAGAGGGAGAGGCUGUCUUCCUCACUCCAGCCCUCUCCCAGCCUCUGCCUUCCAGGUAUCUGUGCCCUCAGGCUGCUCCUCCCUCUGCCAUCCCUGAGCUCUGCGUGCUCCGUUUCUGCAAGAGCCCUCUUCCAUGGGACGCUCCUCUACUUGUUCUUCCACUUGCGAGAGGCCAUGCCUGGUCCCUGUCUCCCCGGCUGUACCGUGACCACUUCCUGGGCUGGGGGACAUACCUGUGGAAGGAUGGUGAUGCGGAAGGACUGAUUGGUGACCUCACCCAUUAGGUAGAGGGAGAUGACUGGGAAAAUGUUCCAAGGGGUGGUGCCUGCUUGCCAGCACACCAGCUGCUCCCCCAGCCAAAACCCGUCCGGAAACUUCUCCGUCUAUGUGGGCGAGAAAGGGAUAGUGAUGGGGAAACUGCCUUCUUCCAGCACCUCGCUUCUCCCGCUUUCACGUGACACUUCCCGCGCCCUAGAUUUGCUUUUCUGUGAAAUACCCGAGCUGGGGGAAGGCACGCUGAAACCCAAGAAUCAGGGGAAGACGGAGGGAGGGCGAAGCCAACGCUUUGCACCAGGGGGACCGUGUGAUGAGCCGACCGAGACCCAGGAAAGAGACUCGCUUUGAAGGCAUUUAAGUACAAGGAUCUAAAGGUAGACGACUUGGCUCUUGUUGAGACCUGUGACCUCCACGGACUUCCUCUGACACCACGUCAUCUCUCGUACCCCUGCCCUUAGUCCCACUGACCGAGGAGGCUGCCUUGAUGGAUUUAACGGCGGCUUCAAACACCUUCUUGGGCAAACGAAGAUGAGGGGACUGAAACGCAAAAUAGUAACUUGCCUGAGGGCACAUGGCUCGUAAAAGGCAAAGCUAGAAACCCAGGUUUUUCCAACUCCAAAGCUGGACUCUUCCACUUGCAUCAUAUGAAGCUGCCUCACCAACAACUUGCCCAAGGCCAUCAAGCAAGGCGGUGACUAGAGUCCAGACAUGCUCUUUCCCUUCUUAGACCAUAAUCCACAUGGUCCCUGUGAAAGUGCCCUGCCAGUCCCUAGCCCCAAACUUCAGGUCCUGUCGUGUUACCGUUAAGCUCGCGACGGUUCUAGGCUCAGCCCCCAACCCUUUCUGCAGGUCCCCUGUACCCCUGCUCCGUCCUCCCAACCUCAUAACUCAGGGUCUGACCUCAUGCUAUGUUGCCUCCCCCUUACCUCUCCCUGGUCCCCCUGGUGUCGUUACCUCCUUGCAGUCCAUCUUCAGAUCCUGCCCGUUGAUCUCCACCCGCACAAUGAUCACCUCGUAGUACCACUCCCGCCGGAUGGGUGUGUACCAGAGGCUGCCCGUGUACAGUGAGUGGUCGAUACCCCCAAUGAUCUAGGGAGACAAGGAGGCAGGUACUCGUGUCCCGGCACAGAGGGACAGGGAGUUACCCAGAGACAAAACAACGGGAGCAGAGAUUCCCUGGGCGGGGGGUGGGGGUGGGGGUGGGGGUGGGGGUGGCAAGGCCCUUUACAGGCCACCUUUCUCACCUUCCUGCUUCUCAUCAAUUCAUGUCCCAAAGUGAUUUGUAGUUUCUUAAAUGUGUUAAGAAUGUGUCAGGGGAAGACGUUACAGGACUUUAAAUUAUUUGUUUCAGAAUCUCGCAGCCCUCAAUAUAAAGUUAUUUAAACCUCAACUGGCACAAUAAACGUUAAAUGAAUGAU